rnacentral:rRNA from 1 species
GACAGAGGGCGCGAGCGUUGUUCGGAAUCACUGGGCGUAAAGCGCGCGCAGGCGGACCAGGCAAGUCUGGAGUGAAAUCUCGCCGCUCAACGGCGAGGCUGCUUUGGAAACUGCGGGUCUGGAGACCGGUAGAGGCUGGUAGAAUUGCAGGUGUAGCGGUGGAAUGCGUAGAGAUCUGCAAGAAUACCCGUGGCGAAGGCGGCCAGCUGGGCCGGUUCUGACGCUGAGGUGCGAAAGCGUGGGGAGCAAACAGGG